rnacentral:rRNA from 1 species
UGGGGAAUAUUGCACAAUGGGGGGAAACCCUGAUGCAGCGACGCCGCGUGAGCGAAGAAGUAUUUCGGUAUGUAAAGCUCUAUCAGCAGGGAAGAUAAUGACGGUACCUGACUAAGAAGCCCCGGCUAACUACGUGCCAGCAGCCGCGGUAAUACGUAGGGGGCAAGCGUUAUCCGGAUUUACUGGGUGUAAAGGGAGCGUAGACGGCAAGGCAAGUCUGAUGUGAAAACCCAGGGCUUAACCCUGGGACUGCAUUGGAAACUGUCUGGCUCGAGUGCCGGAGAGGUAAGCGGAAUUCCUAGUGUAGCGGUGAAAUGCGUAGAUAUUAGGAA